UGUGGCAUGCUAACAUUAUAGAAUAACAAGAUGAGCCUGUUUGCUAAAAGCACGGUGUAAACUGUGGUCAAGGUCAAAGCCAAAGUCCAUCAAUGAACCAGUUCCCCGCGCCAGUCUGCGUAGGGUGGCAGAUUGAAGACUGUGCCUGUGAUGUCACAGCGCGUAAAUUGCAUCCAUGAUGUUACACCUCCAUGGGACUGAACCAGGACUCCAGCUCAGAUGGUGCCCACUGCACCACCAUCAGGACAUGUGGGAAGGAAGGCAGAUAACGUGGGUGGCAGAAACUCCGCGAUGGACAUGUAUACUGGACUAAAAGGACAUGUAGAACAGCAGCGACGGCCUUUAGUGUCUGUUAAGUUGCAGGUAAACUAAGCUGAAGUAAUAGGUCUUCAGUUGAUGUUUAAAGGCUGAUUUGACAUCCAGAGCAUGAGCUUGCAAACCAUUUCACAAUAUAUUGGCCCUGUAGCAGAAGGCUUUAGUGUCAUCUGUUUCCUUUUAUAUAUGAGAUGACAUGAAACCAGUGGUUUGUGUACGAUGCACUUUGUAAACUUGAAAUAGUUCUGUUUUAGGUAGGCAGGUGAUGGACCAUUGAGUGCCUAACAUGUUCAUUGGAGAACCGUGGCAUCAGUUGUGAACCUAACAGGAAGCCAAUGCAGAGAACUAAGGGUUAUGUGGUCAAACUUCCUGUUGGAAAUAAUAUGAGCUGCUGCUUUUUUUUUAAUAUGUUGCAAGGUGUUUAAUGUGUGGCGUGUGAUCAUUGGUAGUGGCGCAUUUCAGGUAUUCUGCUACAUACAUUGGUAGUGGGGCAUUUCAGGUAUUCUGCUACAUACAUUGGUAGUGGGGCAUUUCAGGUAUUCUGCUACAUACAUUGGUAGUGGGGCAUUUCAGGUAUCCUGCUACAUACGUUGGUAGUGGGGCAUUUCAGGUAUUCUGCUACAUACGUUGGUAGUGGGGCAUUUCAGGUAUCCUGCUACAUACGUUGGUAGUGGGGCAUUUCAGGUAUCCUGCUACAUACGUUGGUAGUGGGGCAUUUCAGGUAUUCUGCUACAUACAUUGGUAGUGGGGCAUUUCAGGUAUCCUGCUACAUACAUUGGUAGUGGGGCAUUUCAGGUAUCCUGCUACAUACAUUGG